CCACUGAAACGCGGGUCUGAAGGAGGAUUUAGCAGUAAGCAGGAAAUAGAGCGUCCCGCUGAAACUGGCCCUGAAGCGCGCACACACCGCCCGUCACUCUCCCCAAAAACACCAAUCAUUUAACUAAGACCUAAUAAUUAAAAAGGGGAGGCAAGUCGUAACAUGGUAAGUGUACCGGAAGGUGCGCUUGGAAAAAUC
rnacentral:rRNA from 1 species